ACCCAACAUGGGAUGGAUCAGGGCUGCAGCCAGCAUGGCCUUGUGGUUAAGUUGAAUAACCCUAAAUCGAUCCUCGUUUGUGAUUUUGCUGUGCACUUCAUACUUCCUAAUCAGUGAUGUGACCUGCUUUAUGUGGGCAAAGGUCUUUGCUGUUGAACUUGCAACCAGAAUUUAGGCAGUUCCUGCAGGUUCCAUGGCUCUUUUUUGCAUUCCUCCAGAAGGACACGGCUGAACCUCUCAACUCUCUUGUCCUGAAGAAUUCUGUGCGUGGGUUCAAGGAUCCGUUUUGUAGCACUCCAGAAUCCUCCUGGAAAGGUCUAUCUUUGGCUCCUAAGUAAUGAAAGGUCUUAUUCACAGGGUGAAUCAGGUU